GUUCCAGAGGGCAAGAGUCCGUCACGUCACGGUGGGAAGCCAUGGCAGCAAGCAGUAGGCAUGUGGAGCAGGAACAGAGAGCUUACAUCAUCAUUCAAAACCAGGAAUCGGAGAGCAGAGUGGACAUAGCAGGUAAAGACACGACGUCCAUGAAGCAGACGUCCAUGAAGCAGAGACUGCACGCCAGACACUAAAGCUGGCAGCAUGAGGACCCAAGACCAUUCCACUUCUAGAAAUACCCGGACAGUGGCAUAGUAACCAGAGCUCAGUUAAUUAGCUGUUUUAUUUUUAAUUUUCAAAUAUUUAUUUUGGGUCUGAUUUUUA